AACGAACGUUGGCGGCGUGGCUUAGGCAUGCAAGUCGAACGAGAAAGUUUCCUUCGGGGAGCGAGUAUAGUGGCAAAAGGGUGAGUAAUGAUUAGUUAACCUACCCCUAAAACUGGGAUAACUACCCGAAAGGGUUGCUAAUACCGGAUGGUCUAUGAGAGAUGCAUAUCUUUUAUAGUAAAGGCGCUCGCAAGGGUGUCGAUUAGGGAGGGGAUUAAUUCCUAUUAGCUAGUUGGUGAGGUAAUGGCUCUACCAAGGCAUUGAUGGGUAACCGAUCUGAGAGGAUGACCGGUCACACUGGGACUGAGACACUGCCCAGACUCCUACGGGAGGCUGCAGUCGCGAAUAUUCCGCAAUGGACGCAAGUCUGACGGAGCGACGCCGCGUGUGGGAUGAAGGCCUUAGGGUUGUAAACCACUGUCACACUUUAAGAAAUCAAUUAGGGUAACUCCUAGUUGUUGACAAAGGAGUGGAAGGAAGUCACGGCUAACUACGUGCCAGCAGCCGCGGUAAUGUAGUCG
rnacentral:rRNA from 1 species